CUGUUGCCAUGGAAUUUGGGGAUUCAAAUGAAGCUUGGGCAUUUUGGCUUAGCUACGGUGGACAACAACGCCGUCAUUUUUUUAUAGUAUAGCCUUUUUUUUUUGAAAAAAAUACUAUUGGUCCCUUCAAGAACAUAAUCUAAAAUUUGGACUUGAGAAGUCGAUGUUAGAACUUAUGGCUCCGAGUUAACAUGUUUCGACGCCAC
rnacentral:lncRNA from 1 species